GUGUCAGCCGCCGCGGUAAAACGUAGGUGGCGAGCGUUAUCCGGAUUUACUGGGUGUAAAGCGCGUGCAGGCGGCUUGUCAAGUGGGAUGUGAAAGCGCCCGGCUCAACCGGGCGAGGACGUUGCAGACUGACAGGCUGGAGGCUGGAAGAGGCGAGUGGAAUUCCGGGUGUAGUGGUGAAAUGCGUAGAGAUCCGGAGGAACACCAGUGGCGAAGGCGACUCGCUGGUCCAGCACUGACGCUCAGACGCGAAAGCAUGGGGAGCGAACGGGAUUAGAUACCCUCGUAGUCC
rnacentral:rRNA from 1 species